CCUGAGAAACCCGAAAGAUCGAAUGGGGAGAUUCAUCGUCAGCGAUUCCGGUACGUGUGCGGCUCGCGAUGUCCGAGACUUCGGUCUCGCGGCACGCGUCCGCAUGUUUUUUAUUGCUGGAAUCGUCGGCGUGCACUUCUUCCCUAGUAGGACGUCGCGACCCGUUGGGUGUCGGUCUACGGCACGGUAGGUAGCCUGUCACGUGUGCGCUUCACGGCGUUACACGGGGCAGACCUCCGUUCGCCCGACCGGCUGCUCGGCGGUACUCGCAAGGUAUCUGGCCGCAGACAUACGAACUGCGUCCGGCCCGUCGCAAGCGCGGCAAGUGUUUCCCGGCUGUCACGGAUCUAAUGCCGUCACCGGGCCUUGCCAGCUGUUGGUUGACGGUGUCCUAGGACUGGCUAACAAUUAUUAUGAUACCGGUCGGCGACGCUACUGCUUUGGNUACUUUC
rnacentral:rRNA from 1 species